AGUAGUCGUAUUAAAAUUGGACAAUUUGAAAUCUGCAUCUUUCCUGGAACUUUUUGACUGGCGUGUGUACAGUGUAAGGCGAUGCAGACUUUUUCCUCGCCCUCAUCUCUCUAAUGUGAGGUCACACUGCCCGUCUCAGACAAACAUAGCGCCGAGCACUGAGAGGGAAAGUGAGGAGCGAACACAGAAAGGCUCAGAAGCAGCAGAGGAAGUAGACAGAGAGGAGGAGGAGGAGGAGGAAGAGGAGGAGGAGGAGGAAACCAGUCAAACCUCACACUAAGUGAAGCUCAGCUGAAGACUUUGGACAAAUGUCCAUGCAGAAAUCUUAGACUGGUCCACACUGACCCAGCUGUGAAGGAGUGCCUGUCCAGAAUGGAUUUCUGUCUGGUCCAGGACCCACAGAGCAGCAGCAGCAGCAGCAGCAGCAGCAGCAGCAGCAGCAGCAGCAGCAGCAGCAGCAGCAGCAGCAGCUCUGUGUCUGACUGUCACUCUUUCUGGAAUAAAUCAGAGACGAGCGUUGUUGUGAAGAAGAGGAAUAACAACCUGCUGAAAAGAAGAUGAGUCUUGAUUCUCUGGAAACCUCCAUCCAGAAACUUCUAUCGGAGCUGUACCCGCCGUUCGAAGCGACCGCCCCCACUCUGCUCAGUCAGCUCUUCCAGCUCAUCGACAGUCGCUAUAAGGGAGACGCUCUGCGGUGCCUGCUGGACUUUCUGGUUCCGGCCAAGCACAUCUUAGACACUGUGCGGCAGGCUGCAUGUGCUCUGUACUCUGACCUUCUCUUCCUCUGUGAAGGAUGGCCCCUUUGUUUACGUGACCAAGUUGUCAUCCACCUGGCUCCCAUCAACCCCCUGCUUCUUCAACCUGGUGAUUUCUACCUAAAGGUGGCGCCAUUCUGUGACCAAUCAGCACGUAUCGUGAUCUGCAGCCUCCUGGAGGAGGAGGGACUGGCGGUGGAAUUAGUUGAGGAGACUCCCAUUCCUGAAACACACUGUCCUUGUUUAUUCAGCUCCGACUGGUUGAAGGACAUCAACCAGGGCCGACAUGGAGCUCCACUCCGCCAGUACCUCGUUGCCACAGAGCAGGGCAUAGUGAGGCUGCCAUGGGAAAAGGUGGCUGUUCCUGAGUUUGUGGAGGUGCCACAGUGUGUUGGAAGUAGUAUGGCCUCUGUUUCUCCUUCGUUUCCUCCUCCACAGCCUUCACUUACUUCCUCUCUUCCUAAUUUUUCCAAAGAUUCCUCCCACGGUUUGUUUUCUCUUCCCCAUACUAAAGAGUCUGCACCAACACAGUGUAAUGUGACUGUUCAGAAUUCACUUUCAUCGACCUCUGCACAGCCCCCUGCUUUCACAGUGGAGACCAGAAUAAGUCCAGCCAAGCACGGUAUUGCAGUGUCUCUGUGUCUGGUUGGUACCAGUGGAACGUCUUCAUCCAAACUGGUCAGAUUAAAAGACACUGACGCAGAGCCAAAGCCUAUAGGCUGGGUGUCACCAAAUACAUGGGACAGUCGUGUUACUGGGUCAGAACCAGUGACAACAACGAGUGCAUAUCAGCCUGUGUGUGAAGAUUUAGCCAAAUGUGCUGACAAGAGUCUUGUUAAUGAAAAUAUUGUGAGAGAAAAGGACACGAUCACACACCUGCGAGAUAUAAACCAGAGUGUGCCUCAGAGCCAGGCUGCUGCAGGAGGAGAGUAUAUAGAUAUCAUGCAGGCAACAAUGCUGUUUUCUAAAGCACAGUGUGAACAGCAGAAGUCUGUGGUGCAAACGCCAAUGGAAGCACAAAUACAGAUCUGCCCUCAGAGACCUGCACAGAUGCAGCCCCGUGCACAGCUGGAGUCAUUUAGACCGUCAGGGAGGCGGACAAACACACUCCUGACACAUCAGGAACAGUCACCAGCGCACAUGCAAUUCCAUCCACAUCCACAACCCUAUAAUCCUCAUCGUUCAGAGGCUCCUGCGCCCACCCUGUCCACAGAGACAGGAUGUCCCUCUGCUCCACAUCAUUCCCAGUCACACCGGACUCAACUCGACCCUGUUGAACCCUCCCAGUGCGUCCGCACCGUUCGAUUCUCAGAGAAACCCUGCACUCCGUGCAUGAAAAGGAGACAAAUCGGAAAGGUUCCUCAACCUCAGGAGCUCAGGUGCAGAUACAGGGAUUCGUACCAGGCUGCUAUUAAGAACCCUGUGGCUUUUGGGCAGGAGAUAAGGAGAGGAAAUAUGUCGACUGUGUUGGAGGAGGACGGGGACUCCUCUCCGUAUGUUGACAGACACAGGCCACCAGGGACUGAAACUGAGGGUCCGUGGUGUAGUGUCCAAGGAGUGUGGUGUGAUGCUGGAAUCAACCAGCAGCCAACUUUAAUAGGUGACAUUUGUAAAGAGUCGGGCGAACAAAACACUGCUCACUAUUGGAGAGCAAGAGACCCACAAAGUCUGGAGUACAUGGAAGCAAAUACAAUGAAAUACAGUGAUCUGCCUGACCAGCUGACCAUCAAACACUGUCUGGCUCUCAGGGACCCAGUGGAGACAAACUCUGCCAAACAUGGGAAUGAAAAAUACUCCGAAACAGGAAAAGAAAUAAACCCCGAGGAUUUGUCUAGUUCAAACAGUCCUCAACAGUCACAUGUGCGCUGUGCCAAACAUCCUGGAUUACAGUUUGAUCCAAGUGAAACUUCAGGGACGCCUCAGGAAAGAUUACGUACCGUACCUAACUGUUUAAGGACGAGUCCUACAUUUUCCAAGUCUGCCAUGGCUUCACAGAACCGGCCAGAAUCUGUGUCUGACGGCAGAUGUUCCUCCCUGUCCACCACAGUGGUGGAUACGUCUGAGAAGUGUGAAGUGGUCAUUGUUGAAGGUCGGAACGUCCGGAGGAAGGAGAGUAAGAACUCCUGUGCUGAGGUUCCUCAGCUACAUGUGGUCAAAUGUAAGAACAGCACAGCCUUCGGGCUGGUUUCACCCAAGAUGAGCAGGAGGAGGACGGUCGUCCCAGAUGUGUCACCGACCAGUAGAACCUGUCAGCAGAUUGAGACCUCAUCUCAGGCAGUUCCACCAUCAGCUGAAGGAACACAGAAGAUUUUCCAUCCUGUCUCUGCUGCUCCCAGACCACAUCACCUCCCAUUAGGACCUCCAGACCCCGGGGCCCACCCUCUCUUUUUGGGAGUCGCAUCUCUCACAGGUGGCAGAGACAGGACAGGUAGGCCCAUAGUUGAACUCUAUGGUGAGCACCCUGGAUGGAGAUCAGCUGUAACGAGGCAGCAGAUCUGUCAGAUGCUGCUCUACUUCCACUUAAUCACCAGGAGAGAAAUCAGAGAAGCUGGGAUGACACUUAUUUUUGACGGAAGGAAGACAAAUCCUCAGCCACAGCUGUAUCAAGCUUUGAUGACCCUUCAGGAGCAGAGCCCUCAGGUGUUAAACAGUGUGGUGCUGCUGGUGAGUAAAGACACCAGCAGGGGAGCAGAGAGAUGUCCUGGAAUUCAGACUGUCACUGUGUCUUCUAUGAAAGCCUUGCUGAAGCUGGUGGAGGUGAGUCAUCUCAGCUCCCAUCUGGAUGGUUCCCUGUGUCACAGCCACCUCGACUGGCUGGAGCUGCAUCAGAAACUCUUCCCCUUCGUGUCUGAUCUUCAUGAGGCGUCCGGCCUGCUGCUAAGUACCAUCAGAAAAUUAGAAGAACCCCAAAGAACAGACACCGUUCAGAAUGUGCAGCAAUGCAUGAUGGACCAGAAGACUCUGAUGAAGGAUGUGCUGGAGGAGAGUAAGUUGGUCAGUCUGCAGAGGGAGGGUGGUUCCAUCCUGGCCAGACUGAGGAGGGAGAGUGAUCUGAAAUAUCCUCACUGUGACAGCCUGAGUGAUGCUGUGGACUCAGUGACCAGCCUCUACAAUCACAUGGAGGAGCAGGUUCACAUCCUGGUGCACAAUUCCAAUGUGUCUUUGGAACACCUGGAAUACCUGAAACAGCUCAGAGGGAUGGAAGAUCACUUCACUCAGAUGCAGCAGUGGUAUAAUGUAGAAGGAGAGCGCCACCUGCUGGAGGCUGAGUCGGUUGACGAAUCUGGAGACAGACUGGAGCAAAUACUCAACAGCUUCACUGGUUUCCUUAUUGAAGCUAACGAUCGUAGACAUCAUGCCAUGUCAUUAGUGUCGGAGGCAGAGCAUCUGCAGCGGAGCGGUUCCUCCUACUCUGAGACAGAGACAUUCAAGUCUUUUGUCCAAGCCUUCAGAUCAGACCUGGAGAAAUUUCUCUGUAGGGCAGAAGUCUGUGGCAGAGAUCUGCAGAUCAUGGUCAACGUGUGUGAUUUUUGUGAGCAGGCAGUGACAUUGGCCAAUGAAUGCAUAGAUUACUUGGAUCAGAGACCAACAAACCCUCGGCUGACACAAUGUCAGAGUCAAGAAAUAGCCAACAACUCCCUUUGUCCGUCCAACUCUAAAGCACCAGGCACCACUCAAGUCUCUACCGAUGUGUCGGCCAAUGACAAGGACAAGCUCCUGGAUUUUCAGGACAGGUUUCUUCAGUUCAGCCUAGAGAAAUUUCAGGAGAUAAAAGUUCAGGCCAGUGGCCUCCACGGAUCCAGAGGAAUGAGGGUGUGGAAUGUGGCCUGGCUGAGGUGUCAGGAGGCCCAACAGCAGCUUCAGGAGAGAAUACAGGAUGCUCAGCAGAACCCAGAAUCUAACCAACCGUGUGAAUGUCACUAUAUUGAUGUCGUGAGCACUACUAGUACGACAACAUCACCUAGUGGUCAGAAUCUGGUGGUACAGUCCAUCCCUGGGACUCAGCAUCCUCAGUGGGAGGACUUUGUGGCAGGAGUUGUAGAUUUAGGGAAGAGGAAGCCACUGAUGGGAAGCAACAACACAAAUUCAACAAAUAUUGCCUGCUGCAACAUCAUCAUCAAACCUGAGGAGAACAGUGAUGCCGGAACAAGCCAGGGGUCAAAGGCCACUCCACAGUCGCCUAACAAAUCAACAAGGGGAACAGAACGAGAAGUGAGGAGGAGACAGUCCAGCAGAGCGAGGAGAGAACGAGACGCCGCUGCUCUGUCCCAGUCCCACACCGUUGGCUGCCAGUGGUUUCCAUGGGCACGUGGACUCAAGGCCAGGUCCAUUAGCCAGGACUCAUGCACCACAGCAGUAGCCACAGCGGGCUCCUCCACUCCUCCAGAGCAGGGCGUUCGAUCACCAUCGUCCUGUUCUCACCACGGUCAGCCGUCAUGUCGGAUCCUGAAGGAGGCGCAGAAGUUCCAGAUCUCCCGCCACGGGAGCUUCUGCUCACAGGACUCCUGUAUGAGUGAGAAAGGAGCAGCAGGAGGUGAGAGGACGUCAUGCUCCAGUCUGCCUGUGAGGAGAUACGAAGGGACGUUUUGUCUGACAAAUACACAGGAGAGUUCCAGCACUGCCCUGAGGCUGCAGCGGGUGCUGGAAGAGCUGGUGGUCACAGAGAGGGAGUAUGUCCGCUCACUGAAUUACAUCUUGACUCACUACUUCCCUCUGCUGGACAGACAAGACAUUCCCCAAGAUCUUAGGGGCAAGAGAGGCAUCAUCUUUGGAAACCUGGAGAAGCUGCAUAACUUCCACAGUCACUACUUUCUGCCAGAGUUGGAGGAGUGUCAGAGGGAACCGGCCAUGGUGGCCCGCUGCUUUCUGAGACAUAGUGAAAGUUUUGGUCUGUACGCUCUGUACAGUAAGAACAAGCCUCAGUCAGAUGCCCUCAUCCUGCACCGUCGCCAUGACAUCUUCAAGAGGAAGCAGCAGGAGCUGGGGGACAUGAUGGACCUCUCGUCGUACCUGCUGCGGCCCAUCCAGAGGAUCAGCAAGUACAGUCUCCUGUUGCAGGACAUGUUGGCUUUGGCCGGAUCAUACAGACCGAAAGACAUGAUCCAGGAUCGUUUGCUCAGGCCUUCAGUGAGCACACAGAAUGUGUGUGGUCCAGGUGCUUAUGUACCUGAUCUGACGAGCGGUGAGCGGGAGCGGGAGAGGGCGGAGAUCCAGAGCGCUGCAGACCUGGUGCGGUUUCAGAUGCGUCACGGCAACGAUUUGCUGACCAUGGAUGCCAUUAGGGACUGUGACGUGAAUUUGAAGGAGCAGGGUCAGCUGAUUCGCCAAGAUGAGUUCACAGUUUUCUUCAGAAAGAAGAAAUGUGUCCGCCGCGUCUUUCUUUUUGAAGAUCUAAUCCUAUUCAGCAAGACAAAGAAGACUGAUGUUGGCAAUGACGUCUACGUUUACAAGCAGUCUUUCAAGACCAGUGACAUCGGCAUGACUCAUAACUCUGUCGUGGGCAGCCUGUGUUUUGAGAUUUGGUUCCGCAGGAGGAAGAGUGAGGACACGUACACCCUGAAAGCCACCAGCAUGGAGGGGAAGAAAGCCUGGACCACCGACCUGGAGAGAAUCCUUUGGGAUCAGGCUGCUCACAGCAGAGAGCUGCGUAUGCAGGAGAGGGUCUUUAUGGGAAUGGGCCGCAAACCUUUCAUGGACAUUCAGCCCAGUGAUGCUGCGAUCUGUGACCGAGCCGUCAACUGUGUUCUGCCUGGGAGAAUCCCUGUGGCAUGUUGUUCACACAGGAGCCUAGACUUUCCACGGCCACACUCUAUUGGCUCAGGUAGCACGGCCUCCACCACCCUAAGCCAAUCGUCUUCCUCUUCUGGCAGGGGCUCACUGCCCCCUGCUGGUUAUCCUGGGAAUCUGUCACAGGGAGUAGAACCAAGUCCUACUCUCUGCUCUUCACAUGAUGCUUUGAUGGAUAAUGAGCUCAACAGUCAUCAUCUUCAUCAGCAUCUUCACGAUAACUGUGAACACUGGAAAAGACUUCAUCCUCUGAUUGACAGCACCACGUCCUCAUCAGAAUGCAUCAACCUCAUCAGUAUGUCAGACCACAGCUGCCUGUCUGCCCCGGGUGUCGACACGGUGGACGACAAUUCCUCCUCUUUAGCUCCUCAGUGUCCAAAGCUCCGCCCAUCGCUGUGUCAGACCCCCAGUCUGAGGAGAAAUGAUUCACCUGUGAUUAGCAGAAAGAAACUGGGCGUUGCACCGCAGCCCCCACACCUGGUCAAAGCUCAGAGUGAUGACAUGAUCAUUUCAAAGUCCACAGAGGUUUGACUCUUCCAUGUCUGAGAUUCUUGGUCUUAGUCUGAACUGAUGAAGUCUGGUCACAUUGCGACACACUGAGGUUUAUCACCAGACUGACAGUUCAGUCAGCUCAUGGGGUGUGAUUGGCAGGGGUUAUCACACACUUCUGUUUUUUGAUUAAUCAGUAAAACUGGAACUCUUCUAUAUCCAUCACAGAGCCGUGGUACACAGACUCUGUUAUUUUGAAAGAAAGAAAAAACAGUUUGAAGGGUACUGUGUGUCUUUCAUGCUGCUGUAACUGAAUGAUGUGGUUUCUGGCCGUGAAAUACAGUACGUUUGGAAUUUUGCAAAAACUUCCUGUAAAGGUUUUGUUUGACGAGUGAUACAACAGAAACACGGCCGUUUGUUCUCCGUCAUGACCACACACACAAAGGAGACACAGUUCUGACCUUGGAGGAAGACUGUCAUGUGAUUUGCCAACAGACCAAGUGUCACUGAAGAUGCAGCUGAACAGUGUUGGUGACCACAAAGGAACCAUAACUAACAUGACCCUGAGGCCAAAGACUGAGCUGCUGCAGACACAGACCUAACAUAGUUGACUAUAAAUGGAGAAAUGAUUCCAUGAAAAUGAUUUUAUUUAUAUCUAGAUAUAGUCAUUUCAGGUGACCAUUUAUAAUUUAAACUUUGAUCACAGAGAGGACACCUUUCUUUGUUUUUCUUUGUUUGGACAAUGUGUUAUUUCUACAUACAGCUUUUCAACACAUUAUGUUACAAUUCAAAAAGCACAGGCAGUUCAACUACUUGUAUUCGGGGUCCAGUCGUGAUCGUCAUUGUAACCAGUGUUCCAAGUUCACAUAAAAAUGACCAUUUCUUUAUUUCACUGUAAACCACUGAAUCUUUGCAAUGUGUGGAACCCAUUUCUGUUUUUGUUAUCAUUUAUUUUCUGAUUGAACUGUAAGUUGUAUUUAUUUCCACGUGUAGUAUGUGCUGUUGUCUCUCUCUCUCUCUCUUUUUCUCUUAUUAUUUUCAUCUUUUAUAUCUGUUUUUCUUCCUUAUUUCCUCACUCUUCUUAUUCCUUUCUCCUUUGCUUGUCUCUGUUCCUUUAUUAUCUUUCUUUCUCUAUUUCUUCAUUUGUUUGUUUGCUUCUUUCAGUUAUUCGUUGCUUAAUGGUUUUCGGUUUGAUAUCCUGUCUUAACUCUCCGUUAUCUUUCACACAUGGCACCAACGCGAUGAUGUAAUAAUUUUGUAAGUGUGCCACACUUCUUCAUUUCAGUGUUGAACAGACACUCUUUUAGAAACCUUUCUUUGUAACAGGUUGUCCUGUUUUAUAUCCUGUUGAAUAUCCUCUUCAGGAUUUUUCGUCUUUUUGUGUUUUAGAGACUUAUUUCCUGUUGAUCAGCUUUACUUUGUUGAUUUAAUUUUAGUUCAAUAUUUUUUUUAAAGAUUUUUAAAACAUUUCUUCUAACUGCAAACUAAGGAGCUCAGCCCUAAUGUGUUCGUUAGCAGUUUUAAUGGCCUUUGUUGUUUAAUGAUGUGAAAGUGUAACAACCUGUAACUGUCUUGACGACAAAGUCAAAGAAGAGAAACUCUUUUCAGUGUUGGGCUUUUGUUGUUUAAUUAUGAAAUGUAAUUUAAAAUCCAUGAACAGAUUUGAUUUAUUAAUAUAUGAUACAUAAUUUAUGAGAAAAUAAACUUGUUAGGGUGAUUUCUUUUUUUGAGCUCAUAAUAUUUAUAUUUAUAUAUUUCCAAUAGCUCUGUUAUGCUGUACUUUAACUAGGUGUUAAUAAUAUUGGAUACGUUUUAGUAUUACUACUCAUUUGCAUUUUAAAUUGAAGGUCUAAUGUCAAUUAUGCUUCUUAA